rnacentral:tRNA from 1 species
AAACGGUCGUCGAAUUGCAUUGCCACGGCGGGUUUUCUGUGCCCGCUGCCGUAGAGUCUGCGUUGAUUCGGGCCGGAGCGCGACCGGCACUGGCUG